rnacentral:rRNA from 1 species
UACGUAGGCAGCAAGCGUUGUUCGGAAUUACUGGGCGUAAAGAGUGCGUAGGUGGUUGGCUAAGUUUGGUGUGAAAUUUCCCGGCUCAACUGGGAGGGUGCGCCGAAAACUGGCUAGCUAGAGUGUGGGAGAGGGACGUGGAAUUCCUGGUGUAGCGGUGAAAUGCGUAGAUAUCAGGAGGAACACCUGCGGUGUAGACGGCGUCCUGGACCAUUACUGACACUGAGGCACGAAAGCGUGGGGAGCAAACAGGAUUAGAUACCCGUGUAGU